UAUCCUACAAAACCCAAUCAAGCAAAAGAACAAUAAAGUGCACAUUAAUGUCCCCAUGCAAGAUGAAGUUAAUUACAAUUCUUGCGUGCUUGAUAUUCGUCUCAUGCAUGAGUGAAGUGAUGAUCCUCUCAAUCUCGGCUCUUGAAAGCCCUUUAGAACAUCAAGCUUGCAAGCUCUCAAAUCGCCUCAUGCAGGAACAAGAUCAAGUUCAUGCAGGACAUGAUGAAAAAGGUUACAAGGAAAAGCAAGAAAUAUAUGAUUCGGGAAAAUCUCAGAGAGGGAAGCAGGGAGCCUAUGGUGGUGCAAAUAUUGUUCAUCGACCAAGCCCAGGUGAAAAAAAUGCAGCAUCAAUGGAAGCAAAGCCCCGAUUUGUCAUCUCAACCUUAAUAUUCUAUGUAAGCUUGGGCUUAAUCCUUGGUUUUUCCUUCCAACUAGUCUAAAUAUAUGUGGAUGCAGUGAAGGUUGAGUUUUUUGUGUGGCAGAGUUUUGGGCUUCCUUGAACGUUCUGUGUGUAAUAUUUAUUGUUGAUCGAUUACACUAGACAUGUAAUUUUUCAAGAUUUUGUUGUUAUUUGUAAUAUUACGCAGAGUGGGAAAGAUUUUAUUCUACUGGCCGUACUAGUCAUGUGAUUUGCAAAGACUC